AGAGUUUGAUCAUGGCUCAGGAUGAACGCUAGCGACAGGCUUAACACAUGCAAGUCGAGGGGCAGCACGGUGUAGCAAUACACUGGUGGCGACCGGCGCACGGGUGAGUAACACGUGUGCAACCAACCCCGUACCGGGAGAUAACCCGCGGAAACGUGGACUAACAUCCCAUAAUACUGGAGGAUCGCAUGAUCUUUCAUUUAAAAUUCCGGUGGUACGGGACGGGCACGCGCGACAUUAGGUAGUUGGCGGGGUAACCGG
rnacentral:rRNA from 1 species